AUUGAACGCUGGCGGCAGGCCUAACACAUGCAAGUCGAACGAGUGGCGGACGGGUGAGUAAUGUCUGGGAAACUGCCUGAUGGAGGGGGAUAACUACUGGAAACGGUAGCUAAUACCGCAUACCAUCGGAUGUGCCCAGAUGGGCUUAGCUAGUCGGGGGGGUAACGGCUCCCCUAGGCGACGUUCCCUAGCUGGUCUGAGAGGAUGACCAGCCACCCUGGAACUGAGACACGGUGCAGGCUCCUACGUGAGGCAGCGGUUGGGAAUAUUGGACAAUGGGCGCAAGCCUGAUGCAGCCAUGCCGCGUGUAUGAAGAAGGCCUUCGGGUUGUAAAGUACUUUCAGCGGGGAGGCAUUACCCGCAGAAGAAGCACCGGCUAACUCCGUGCCAGCAGCCGCGGUAAUUC
rnacentral:rRNA from 1 species